GUGGGGAAUUUUGCGCAAUGGGGGCAACCCUGACGCAGCAACGCCGCGUGAGCGAUGAAGGCCUUCGGGUCGUAAAGCUCUUUUAGUGGGGAAGAAACCGCCAAGGUGAAUAUCCUUGGUGAAUGACGGUACCCACAGAAAAAGUUCCGGCUAACUACGUGCCAGCAGCCGCGGUAAUACGUAGGGAGCAAGCGUUGUUCGGAAUUAUUGGGCGUAAAGAGCGCGUAGGCGGUUCGGUAAGUCUGACGUGAAAUCCCGGAGCUUAACUCCGGAACUGCGUUGGAUACUGCCGGGCUUGAGUGUGGGAGAGGAGAGUGGAAUUCCCAGUGUAGAGGUGAAAUUCGUAGAUAUUGGGAGGAACACCCGUGGCGAAGGCGGCUCUCUGGACCACAACUGACGCUGAGGCGCGAAAGCUAGGGUAGCAAACGGGAUUAGAAACCCCGGUAGUCC
rnacentral:rRNA from 1 species